AGAACGAACGCUGGCGGCAGGCCUAACACAUGCAAGUCGAACGCUCUCGCAAGAGAGAGUGGCGCACGGGUGCGUAACGCGUGGGAAUGUACCUCUAGGUACGGAACAACCCAGGGAAACUUGGGCUAAUACCGUAUAAUAUCUUCGGAUCAAAGAUUUAUCGCCUAGAGAUCAGCCCGCGUAGGAUUAGCUAGUUGGUGAGGUAAUGGCUCACCAAGGCUACGAUCCUUAGCUGGUCUGAGAGGAUGAUCAGCCACACUGGAACUGAGACACGGUCCAGACUCCUACGGGAGGCAGCAGUGAGGAAUAUUGGACAAUGGGGGCAACCCUGAUCCAGCCAUGCCGCGUGAGUGAUGAAGCCUUCGGGUUGUAAACUCUUUUAGGUGUGACGAUGAUGACGGUAACACCAGAAAAGCUCCGGCUAACUUCGCGCCAGCAGCCGC
rnacentral:rRNA from 1 species